GAUGACGCCGGCCGGUGUGCUUAAUACAUGCAAGUCGAACGCGUUGGCCCAAUUGAUUGAUGGUGCUUGCACCUGAUUGAUUUUGGCCGCCAACGAGUGGCGGACGGGUGAGUAACACGUAGGUAACCUGCCCAGAAGCGGGGGACAACAUUUGGAAACAGAUGCUAAUACCGCAUAACAGCGUUGUUCGCAUGAACAACGCUUAAAAGAUGGCUUCUCGCUAUCACUUCUGGAUGGACCUGCGGUGCAUUAGCUUGUUGGUGGGGUAACGGCCUACCAAGGCGAUGAUGCAUAGCCGAGUUGAGAGACUGAUCGGCCACAAUGGGACUGAGACACGGCCCAUACUCCUACGGGAGGCAGCAGUAGGGAAUCUUCCACAAUGGGCGCAAGCCUGAUGGAGCAACACCGCGUGAGUGAAGAAGGGUUUCGGCUCGUAAAGCUCUGUUGUUAAAGAAGAACACGUAUGAGAGUAACUGUUCAUACGUUGACGGUAUUUAACCAGAAAGUCACGGCUAA
rnacentral:rRNA from 2 species